UUGGGGGUUAGCGUAGGCAAACCUCUGCCAGCGUGAUCACCCUGCGACGAAGAUCACGCUGGAGUUCUGGAGCUAGGAGUCAUCAAGAUCGAGGUAGGAUCCCGAUGGUGAUCUUGUGAUGUACAAUCAUUUAUGGUGAAGUAAUAGAUGUGUUUAUGUUCUUAGCAAUCUCAGUAUCUCCUUUGAUGGUUUUAUGUUUUUAUUGGGUUUGCUUGCUUUUCAAUCUAUGAAUCGAUGAUAGAUUCCUUACGGUAUUUUUGUGGUCGUGGUGACCAGAUUUGCAUGCCUGAUCUACCUUUGAGUAUGACAUGUUCUUGUGAUCGUGAUAGGAUCUUUCUUGUGUAAGGUGGGGGGUUUCAGGAUCCGAACCAGAGGUGUAGAUUUAAAGAUGCUUUUUUACUAAAAUCAUAUCUGUGUUGCUUUGCUACCCAUGCUCAGAAUUACUUGAUAUACAUAGUCUGGAUUGCUCUAGAUUGGUUACCUUUGCUCUAUCAAUUAUCUGUCUUUGUAUGCUAAUAGAAUGGAUCUGAAUCUCUCAUAAACACCAAGUUAAUGCUAACAAUGCUAGUUGAAAUAGAUCUUAUGCUUUAAGUUCCACGGAUUGAUAAACCUUGGGGGAAUACUCUGAGGGAAGAGCUACUUGGCAUGCUAACAGCCGUCAACAAGCUUUUCUAGCACCAUUUCCGGGAAACUAACAGUCAAGUUCUAGUUUAACUAUGCAUCUGUAGAUAUAACUUUUUGUUCAUGAUUUUUCAGUCUUUUCUUUUUAAACUUUUUGUUUUUGUGCAAUCUCAAUCAAAAUUUCAGAUCUAGUUCUUGUAUAUAUCUGUUUGCUUUCACUAAUGCUAACAGGAGAUGGGCGGCUACCUCUCCAACAAAUAGAAAUUUUUUGUGGAUGAUCCAGAAAGACUUUACAGGCAAGGAAGACGUUUAGCACAAGCAAGAAAGCUGGAGAUCGAAGCUUACUAUCAAGGAGGAGCACCUGCAAAGUUGACACCACCAGAAAGUCUUGGAGGAGCAACAGUUGCUCCAGAACUACCGGAGCACCUGCAAUGGGAGAUCA
rnacentral:lncRNA from 1 species